AAACCCACCUCCUUACUAACGAUUUUCUCCCCUCCCGUGGCGGUGGCUCAAAGCUCCAGCUUAUCUUAUCUCUUCCUUGGGUUCCUUCAGGCGUUCUUCUGUGGAUCUGCCAGUUUCAAAGAUGAAUCAUUUUAUUGUUCAGCAGAACACCUUUAUUUCAUGUGAAGAGACGAGAGGCUUUGCUUCAAUCUCUGAUCUGAAGGACCCAGUUGUCUGUCCGAAGCCCAGGCGACUUGCUAUUCUUGCUAACAAUCACAUUAAACAGCCCUUGAGAUGGCACCAAGCUGAGGUUUGUGAUUCAAAAGCUGGGGCAGAUCUUCUUGACAUCAUUUUAAAGAAGGGGUCGGAACAAUCCAGUGCUCACGUGGCUUCGUCACCCCCAUUUUUUAGUGGGUCUCCGCCGAGCCGGGCUUCGAACCCAUUAAUCCAGGAUGCCCGGUUUGGGGAUGAGAAACUCAGUCCUAUGCCAGCAUUGCCUCCAUAUUCCCCAUCGGGUCUCUCAUCCCCAUCCUCGGCAUCGUCGGCGCACAAAGGAGGAGGGUGUGCGAG
rnacentral:misc_RNA from 1 species